GAUCCCAGUAGCUCCAGGAGAGCGGUUAGAAGUCUGAGAAGGAUUGGUCAUCAUCGCAUACCAUACAUAGGUGGAGGGCUUGUUAUUCUCAGUUUCCCGCCUAUGAGAGGAUACCCCUAUUGUUUCUGAAAAUGCUGACCGGGGACCCACACUUCCAACAAAAAUUCCUCUACCCCUACAGCAGCAGCAAAAGCAGCAGCAGAAGCAACAGCGACAGAUAAGUGUUUUGAUGAAUCGCAAGAUGGAUAGGGCUUGAGUGCCCCCAGCCCUGCUGAUACCAAAUGCCUUUAAGAUACAGCCUUUCCCAUCCUAAUCUACAAAGGAAACAGGAAAAAGGAACUUAAAACUCCCUGUGCUCAGACAGAAAUGAGACUGUUACAGCCUGCUUCUGUGCAGUUCCUUCUUGCCUCUAGCUUGUAAACAAGACCUAGAAGGACGAUGCGAAUGGAAAGUCACUAACUGCUGGGUUUUUGAAAGGAUCCUUGGGACCUCAUGCACAUCUGUGGAAACUGGAUGGAGAGAUUUGGGGAAGCAUGGACUCUUUAGCCAGCUUAGUUCUCUGUGGAGUCAGCUUGCUCCUUUCUGGAGGUGUUGCAAGGUGCCG